GACGGAGGAUGCAAGCGUUAUCCGGAAUUAUUGGGCGUAAAGCGUCCGCAGGUGGCUGUUCAAGUCUGCUGUCAAAGCGCAGAGCUUAACUCUGUACAGGCGGUGGAAACUGAAGAGCUAGAGUAUGGUAGGGGUAGAGGGAAUUCCCGGUGUAGCGGUGAAAUGCGCAGAUAUCAGGAGGAACACCGGUGGCGAAGGCGGGUCUCUGGGCAACAACUGACGCUGAGGAGCGAAAGCGUGGGGAGCGAACAGG
rnacentral:rRNA from 1 species